UACCUGGUUGAUCCUGCCAGUAGUCAUAUGCUUGUCUCAAAGAUUAAGCCAUGCAAGUCUAAGUACGAGCUCUCGUACAGUGAAACUGCGAAUGGCUCAUUAAAUCAGUUAUGGUUCAUUUGAUCGUACAGUUUACUUGGAUAACUGUGGUAAUUCUAGAGCUAAUACAUGCGAGAAGCGCCGACCUCGCGGGAGGCGUGCAUUUAUCAGACCAAAAACCGGCCGCGUCUUCGGGCGCGUUCGCCUUGGUGACUCUGGAUAACUUUGCGGAUCGCACGGUCUAGCACCGGCGACGGAUCAUUCAAGUGUCUGCCCUAUCAACUUUCGUCGGUACGGUAUUUGCCUACCGAGGUUCUUACGGGUGACGGGGAAUCAGGGUUCGAUUCCGGAGAGGGAGCCUGAGAAACGGCUACCACAUCCAAGGAAGGCAGCAGGCGCGCAAAUUACCCAUUCCCGACGCGGGGAGGUAGUGACGAAAAAUAACAAUGCAGGACUCGUUCGAGGCCCUGUAAUUGGAAUGAGUACACUGUAAAAGCUAUAACGAGUAUCCAUUG
rnacentral:ncRNA from 1 species